rnacentral:rRNA from 1 species
AGUGAACGCUGGCGGUAGGCCUAACACAUGCAAGUAGAACGGCAGCACAGUAAGAGCUUGCUCUUACGGGUGGUGAGUGGCGGACGGGUGAGGAAUACAUCGGAAUCUACUUUUUCGUGGGGGAUAACGUAGGGAAACUUACGCUAAUACCGCAUACGACCUACGGGUGAAAGCAGGGGAUCUUCGGACCUUGCGCGAUUGAAUGAGCCGAUGUCGGAUUAGCUAGUUGGCGGGGUAAAGGCCCACCAAGGCGACGAUCCGUAGCUGGUCUGAGAGGAUGAUCAGCCACACUGGAACUGAGACACGGUCCAGACUCCUACGGGAGGCAGCAGUGGGGAAUAUUGGACAAUGGGCGCAAGCCUGAUCCAGCCAUACCGCGUGGGUGAAGAAGGCCUUCGGGUUGUAAAGCCCUUUUGUUGGGAAAGAAAAGCAGCAGGUUAAUACCCCGCUGUUCUGACGGUACCCAAAGAAUAAGCACCGGCUAACUUCGUG